GGCUUCAUAGCUCAGUUGGUAGAGCAUCACGCUAGUAACGCGGAGGUCAUGGGUUCAAAUCGCGUUGAAGCUA
rnacentral:tRNA from 1 species